UACAGAGGUCCCAAGCGUUGUUCGGAUUCACUGGGCGUAAAGGGUGCGUAGGCGGUCGGGUAAGUCUGGCGUGAAAUCUCCAAGCCUAACUUGGAAACUGCGUUGGAUACUAUCCGGCUCGAGGAAUGGAGGGGAGACUGGAAUACUUGGUGUAGCAGUGAAAUGCGUAGAUAUCAAGUGGAACACCAGUGGCGAAGGCGGCUCUCUGGGACGGUACUGACGCUGAGACGCGAAAGCGUGGGGAGCGAACAGG
rnacentral:rRNA from 1 species